rnacentral:rRNA from 1 species
GAGUUUGAUCAUGGCUCAGAACGUACGCUGGCGGCACGCCUAACACAUGCAAGUCGAACGAAGUAGCAAUACUUAGUGGCAGACGGGUGAGUAACAUGUAGGUAUCUGCCCUUUGGCCUGGAAUAACACGAGGAAACUUGUGCUAAUACCGGAUAAGUCUUUACGGAGAAAGCUUUAUGCACCAUUGGAUGAGCCUGCACUUGAUUAGUUUGUUGGUGGGGUAAUGGCCUACCAAGACUGUGAUCAAUAGCUGAUUUGAGAGGAUGAUCAGCCACAUUGGGACUGAGACACGGCCCAAACUCCUACGGGAGGCAGCAGUGGGGAAUCUUGCACAAUGGAGGAAACUCUGAUGCAGCGAUGCCGCGUGAGUGAAGAAGGCCUUUGGGUUGUAAAGCUCUUUCGUCGGGGAAGAAAAUGACUGUACCCGAAUAAGAAGGUCCGGCUAACUUCGUGCCAGCAGCCGCGGUAAUACGAAGGGACCUAGCGUAGUUCGGAAUUACUGGGCUUAAAGAGUUCGUAGGUGGUUGAAAAAGUUAGUGGUGAAAUCCCAGAGCUUAACUCUGGAACUGCCAUUAAAACUUUUCAGCUAGAGUAUGAUAGAGGAAAGCAGAAUUUCUAGUGUAGAGGUGAAAUUCGUAGAUAUUAGAAAGAAUACCGAUUGCGAAGGCAGCUUUCUGGAUCAUUACUGACACUGAGGAACGAAAGCAUGGGUAGCGAAGAGGAUUAGAUACCCUCGUAGUCCAUGCCGUAAACGAUGUGUGUUAGACGUUGGAAAUUUAUUUUCAGUGUCGCAGCGAAAGCGAUAAACACACCGCCUGGGGAGUACGACCGCAAGGUUAAAACUCAAAUGAAUUGACGGGGACCCGCACAAGUAGUGGAGCAUGUGGUUUAAUUCGAAGAUACGCGCAGAACCUUACCAACACUUGACAUGUUCGUCGCGACUCUAAGAGAUUAGAGUUUUCGGUUCGGCCGGACGAAACACAGGUGCUGCAUGGCUGUCGUCAGCUCGUGUCGUGAGAUGUUGGGUUAAGUCCCGCAACGAGCGCAACCCUCACUUUUAGUUGCCAUCACUAAGUUGGGCACUCUGAAAGAACUGCCAGUGAUAAGCUGGAGGAAGGUGGGGAUGACGUCAAGUCCUCAUGGCCCUUACGUGUUGGGCUACACACGUGCUACAAUGGUAUCUACAACAGGAAGCAAGACUGCGAGGUCAAGCAAAUCCUUAAAAGAUACCUCAGUUCGGAUUGCACUCUGCAACUCGAGUGCAUGAAGCUGGAAUUACUAGUAAUCGUGGAUCAGCGUGCCACGGUGAAUGCGU